rnacentral:rRNA from 1 species
GAUGAACGCUGGCGGCGUGCCUAAUACAUGCAAGUCGAACGGACUGUGGUAAUUAUGAUUGAAGAGCUUGCUCGGAGAGAUUAAUUACAAUGCAGUCAGUGGCGAAACGGGUGAGUAACACGUGGGAAACCUACCUCUUAGCAGGGGAUAACAUUUGGAAACAGAUGCUAAUACCGUAUAACAAUUAGAACCGCAUGGUUCAAGUUUAAAAGAUGGUUCUGCUAUCACUAAGAGAUGGUCCCGCGGCGUAUUAGCUAGAUGGUGAGGUAAUGGCUCACCGAUGGCAAUGAUACGUAGCCGAGUUGAGAGACUGAUCGGCCACAUUGGGACUGAGUACAC